rnacentral:rRNA from 1 species
GAUGAACGCUGGCGGCGUGCCUAAUACAUGCAAGUCGAGCGAACAGAUGAGGAGCUUGCUCCUCUGACGUUAGCGGCGGACGGGUGAGUAACACGUGGAUAACCUACCUAUAAGACUGUGAUAACUUCGGGAAACCGGAGCUAAUACCGGAUAAUAUAUUGAACCGCAUGGUUCAAUAGUGAAAGACGGUUUUGCUGUCACUUAUAGAUGGAUCCGCGCCGCAUUAGCUAGUUGGUAAGGUAACGGCUUACCAAGGCAACGAUGCGUAGCCGACCUGAGAGGAUGAUCGGCCACACUGGAACUGAGACACGGUCCAGACUCCUACGGGAGGCAGCAGUAGGGAAUCUUCCGCAAUGGGCGAAAGCCUGACGGAGCAACGCCGCGUGAGUGAUGAAGGUCUUCGGAUCGUAAAGCUCUGUUAUUAGGGAAGAACAAAUGUGUAAGUAACUAUGCACGUCUUGACGGUACCUAAUCAGAAAGCCACGGCUAACUACGUG